CUUGAGGGUACUCGAGUGGCGAACGGGUGAGUAACACGUGGGUGAUCUGCCCUGCACUUCGGGAUAAGCCUGGGAAACUGGGUCUAAUACCGGAUAGGAGCCAUUUUUCAGUGUGAUGGUUGGAAAGUUUUUUCGGUGUAGGAUGAGCUCGCGGCCUAUCAGCUUGUUGGUGGGGUAAUGGCCUACCAAGGCGGCGACGGGUAGCCGGCCUGAGAGGGUGGACGGCACAUUGGGACUGAGAUACGGCCCAGACUCCUACGGGAGGCAGCAGUGGGGAAUAUUGCACAAUGGGCGCAAGCCUGAUGCAGCGACGCCGCGUGGGGGAUGACGGCCUUCGGGUUGUAAACUCCUUUCGCUAGGGACGAAGCUUUUUGUGACGGUACCUAGAUAAGAAGCACCGGCUAACUACGUGCCAGCAGCCGCGGUAAUACGUAGGGUGCGAGCGUUGUCCGGAAUUACUGGGCGUAAAGGGCUCGUAGGUGGUUUGUCGCGUCGUCUGUGAAAUUCCGGGGCUUAACUCCGGGCGUGCAGGCGAUGCGGGCAUAACUUGAGUACUGUAGGGGUAACUGGAAUUCCUGGUGUAGCGGUGAAAUGCGCAGAUAUCAGGAGGAACACCGAUGGCGAAGGCAGGUUACUGGGCAGUUACUGACGCUGAGGAGCGAAAGCAUGGGUAGCGAACAGGAUUAGAUACCCUGGUAGUCCAUGCCGUAAACGGUGGGCGCUAGGUGUGAGGGUCUUUUCACGACUUUCGUGCCGUAGCUAACGCAUUAAGCGCCCCGCCUGGAGAGAGUACG
rnacentral:rRNA from 1 species